rnacentral:tRNA from 1 species
GGGGAUAGCUCAAGUGGUAGAGCACAUGCUUAGCAUGCAUGAGGUCCAGGGUUCAAUCCCCGGGAUCUCUA